ACAAAACGCAUCAAAAACGAAUGGACAAGAACUGUCAUAUUCCUGACUUGGUACAGGCAUUUUCAAAUGUAGAAAAUGGUGGAUUAAACCUGGUUUUAUAGCGCUAACCCUCUCACUUUGAUGACAGUCUCAUCAAAUUCCGUUAUAUUUACAUUGAUGCGUUAACUAAACAGACACAAUAAAUAAAAUAGUCAGAAUAUGGGUACAUCAGUCAUCAUCGUACAACAAUUUUAAAAGGAACAAUUUAACAGAAC
rnacentral:lncRNA from 1 species